rnacentral:rRNA from 1 species
UCUUGGUCAUUUAGAGGAAGUAAAAGUCGUAACAAGGUCUCCGUUGGUGAACCAGCGGAGGGAUCAUUACCGAGUUUACAACUCCCAAACCCAUGUGAACAUACCUACUGUUGCUUCGGCGGGAUUGCCCCGGGCGCCUCGUGUGCCCCGGAUCAGGCGCCCGCCUAGGAAACUCAACUCUUGUUUUAUUUUGGAAUCUUCUGAGUAGUUUUUACAAAUAAAUAAAAACUUUCAACAACGGAUCUCUUGGUUCUGGCAUCGAUGAAGAACGCAGCGAAAUGCGAUAAGUAAUGUGAAUUGCAGAAUUCAGUGAAUCAUCGAAUCUUUGAACGCACAUUGCGCCCGCCAGUAUUCUGGCGGGCAUGCCUGUCUGAGCGUCAUUUCAACCCUCAUGCCCCUAGGGCGUGGUGUUGGGGAUCGGCCAAAGCCCGCGAGGGACGGCCGGCCCCUAAAUCUAGUGGCGGACCCGUCGUGGCCCCCUCUGCGAAGUAGUGAUAUUCCGCAUCGGAGAGCGACGAGCCCCUGCCGUUAAACCCCCAACUUUCCAAGGUUGACCUCAGAUCAGGUAGGAAUACCCGCUGAACUUAAGCAUAUCAAUAAGCGGAGGA